rnacentral:rRNA from 2 species
UGGGGAAUAUUGCACAAUGGGCGAAAGCCUGAUGCAGCAACGCCGCGUGAGCGAUGAAGGCCUUCGGGUCGUAAAGCUCUGUCCUAUGGGAAGAUAAUGACGGUACCAUAGGAGGAAGCCCCGGCUAACUACGUGCCAGCAGCCGCGGUAAUACGUAGGGGGCAAGCGUUAUCCGGAAUUACUGGGCGUAAAGGGUGCGUAGGCGGUUUAUCAAGUCAGGGGUGAAAGGCUACGGCUCAACCGUAGUGAGCCUCUGAAACUGGUGAACUUGAGUGUAGGAGAGGAAAGUGGAAUUCCCAGUGUAGCGGUGAAAUGCGUAGAUAUUGGGAGGAACACCAGUGGCGAAGGCGACUUUCUGGACUACAACUGACGCUGAGGCACGAAAGCGUGGGGAGCAAACA